GUGUUAUGUGUAUUCUUCACGGUUCAGCAUGAACGUCAGUCCUUAAGGGUGAAAAACCUGCAGGCACUGAACUAAUCCAUCUUCGUGUACAUGCAUUGCAUCCUAAAAUAACGUCCGAAGUGUGUCAAUACUAACCCCAGGGCAAAUGAGGGGGUACAUAACUUUACAUAUGAUUGUGUAAUAACAAUAAUUGGGUACAGGCAAUUAUUUGGGGGUGUGCAUUUAAAUUUGGCAAGGAGUGGCGAUGGAAAACCAAACACACACAUGCAUACUCGAGGAAAAUACUGUCAAUUUGUGAGCUCCCAGUCUUGAUUUACUGUGUCUUCAAAGCAUUGUUGUGCAUCAUACCCUGGCAACUGAAUCCUUGUCUAAUGCCCCACAGUCGCAUCUCUAACACAAGCCAUAGGCUGUCUCAAAUAUAGAACAGCUCAGGGUACGACCAGGGUAAUCAAAGGUGAAAGGGACUUCUGUAGCAAAGAAAAAAACGUUAAGAACCAAAACAGUUUGAUGCUGCAGUCAGUUAAAUGUGAGGGACACCGAAGAUAAUGGUUUUAACCCUGUGUUCUGACUUUACAGUGGCUUUCAAAAAGAUUUGGCAAGCCAUCUACCCACACCCACUUACCAAAACACCAAGUAUGGUAUGGACCAUUUGUUUGACAUAAGGUCAUGUACAUAGUCUGCUAUGGUCUGACCAGGGGCCUCAUUUAUAAAAACAGUAUGUAGGAUCCAUACUAAGUGUAUGUACGUACAAAAGCUGCAAAUGGUGUGCGGCAAA